ACUGUCACCAGAGGUGCUGCAAGUGUGACUGCUGUGUCACAUGUCCUUCAGGAGGUGACAGAGAGGACAGAGGGUUUGUCUGGUUUCAGUCUACUGACCUGUGAACAUCUGAAUGGUUAGUAGCCCAAUAUU